rnacentral:rRNA from 1 species
UCCCCGAAAUAGCUUUAGGGCUAGCCUGAGGUAGUAAGUAUAGGCGGUAGAGCACUGAUCGGGCUAGGGGCCGUAAAGGUUACCGAACCCUGUCAAACUCCGAAUGGAUAUACUGUAGAGCCUUGGAGUCAGACUACGAGUGAUAAGAUCCGUGGUCAAAAGGGAAACAGCCCAGACCACCAGCUAAGGUCCCCAAUGUCGUACUAAGUGGAAAAGGAUGUGGGGUUUCAUAAACAACCAGGAUGUUGGCUCAGAAGCAGCCACCAUUUAAAGAGUGCGUAAUAGCUCACUGGUCGAGAGACCCUGCGCCGAAGAUUCCCGGGGCUAAAGUACGAAACCGAAGCUGUGGCUGUAUACGUAAAGUAUACGGGGUAGGGGAGCGUUCCCAUAGGGUAGAAGUCGAACUGGAAGGUUCGGUGGACUUGUGGGAAGUGAGAAUGUUGGUAUGAGUAGCGAAAAGAAAGGUGAGAAUCCUUUCCACCGAAAGCAUAAGGAUUCCUGAGCAACGAUCGUCGUCUCAGGGUAAGUCGGGACCUAAUCCGAGGCAGAGAGCGUAGGAGAUGGACAACUGGUUGAUAUUCCAGUACCGGUAGUAAUUGUUUGAGCAAUGGAGUGACACAGAAGGGCAGGCAAGCAUGCGAAUGGAAGAGCAUGUGUAAGCGUGUAGGGUGGUGCAUAGGCAAAUCCGUGCACUGAAAGCCUGAGGCGUGAUGCGGAGUGAGCAGAGAUGCGAGCGAAGUUGUUGACCCCACACUGUCGAGAAAAGCUUCUAGUGAGAGAGCUACCGCCCGUACCGUAAACCGACACAGGUAUGCGGGGAGAGAAUCCUAAGGUGCGCGGGAGAACCCUCGUUAAGGAACUCGGCAAAAUGUACCCGUAACUUCGGGAUAAGGGUAGCCACUGUUGUGAAGUCCCAUGCGGAUGGAGCAUAGAGUGGUCGCAGAGAAGAGGCCCAAGCGACUGUUUACCAUAAACACAGGUGCCUGCUAAAGCGAAAGCUGACGUAUAGGUGCUGACACCUGCCCAGUGCCGGAAGGUUAAGGAAGGAUGUUCGGAGUAAUCCAAAGCAUUCGACUGAAGCCCCGGUGAACGGCGGCCGUAACUAUAACGGUCCUAAGGUAGCGAAAUUCCUUGUCGGGUAAG